GGCACGGCGCAGAGCACGCUUCGCUCUCUGGGUCUCAGUGAGGUUCUCCAGGAGCAGCUCCAGGAGGUUUUGGUCGAGCGGCGCCGGGUGGUGCUGGGCAAGGCCCUGGGCCAGGGCGAGUUCGG